ACAUGAGGAAGCACCUCUGAGUUCAUGGAGUACAAAUAAAUGCGUGUCCUGUCUUCGACGCGCUGCGCCGACCGUCCUCCUCUGCCUCUUCCUCUGGCUCCGGCUCCGACGCCCAGCCUGGCACCUCGGUGACUGCACUGCAGUCCGAAUCCGACAAUUUACAACCUGCUAGCCAGGCUCCGCGAUGUGCUCAGCGUACUCCGUUCACCGUAGCGGCAAUGGGGAAGAUGUCGGUGCCACAGACGGAAGAGUGCCACAGAAAGGUCACUGCACACAUAGUCAAAAGACUGCAUCCCUUUUCAGAGGUGGAAUCUCCAACAUUUAGGGAUAUGGUGAAAACUCUCAACCCAAAAUACAUACCACCUUCCAGGGACUACCUGGCAAACACAUUGAUCCUGGCAUGGUACAAGAAGAAUCGGAAUCAAAACAAAGAAUCGGAAUCGUUCGAAUUCAAACAAUACCCAACCCUAAAUAUAAUAUAUUGUCUGCUGCAUUAUUAGAUAGAUAAA